ACACACACACACACACACACACACACAACACACACACACACACACACACACACACCUGGAGCUGGAGCAGAUCACCGUGCCCAUAGGGGUCCUGCUCGUCAUCUUUGAGUCCAGACCAGACUGCCUACCGCAGGUGAACACACACACACACACACCACACACACACACCUGGAGCUGGAGCAGAUCACCGUGCCCAUAGGGGUCCUGCUCGUCAUCUUUGAGUCCAGGCCAGACUGCCUGCCACAGGUGACCACACACACACACACACACACACACACACACACACACACACACACCUGGAGCUGGAGCAGAUCACCGUGCCCAUAGGGGUCCUGCUCGUCAUCUUUGAGUCCAGGCCAGACUGCCUGCCACAGGUGA